GUGUGUGUGUGUGUGUGUGUGCGUGCGAGAGGAGAGGAGCCUACCAUGCGUUUCCCCCAGUGCUGAUCGCGGGAGAGCCCAAUCACAGGGCGAGCUGGAUCGGGCUGCGAUCAUUUAUAAUCCUGGACUCCUCCGCUCCGCCACUUGUCAAGAUGACAGGCUUUCGGCUCUGAUGAGGGUCUGCCUGCCGCUGAUUGCAAACACUAAUGAACUUACAGCGCCAUUUGAAAUUCACACGCACCUAAGAAGUGCGGGGGUAGGGUGGGCAUUUCAGGUCAGCUGAGUCACCCGACUGAGGUAGGAGCGCAAGGCACUGCCGGGAAGAUGGAUUCUGAGGCAGGCGGGUGUAAUUAAGGAUUUCCACUCCCGGUAGGCGGCCCGUCCUUUACAAGAGGCUCGGAAAAUGACCUGCGCCUUUCCUUCCAGAGUGUCCUCUCGCCCUAGACUGAAAAGCGCAAAUGACCUUCGCACGCGGGAAGCCGUUAAGCACAAGCCCCAGCUCGGCGCCGGCGGAGAACAAGUGUCCGCCCUCCGGUUCAGGCACCAAGACCUCCCCAACAAUCUUGCGCUGGCCGGUGGGGACGGAUUCUGGAGUCCUCUAAAGGCUCCUCUCCCCGCAUUCUCCGACGCCUCCCCCCACCCGGUUCUCCUUUCAGAUUAGCAGCUAAACGCUACCCCUGCUUCGACUUUGCUGUGGGAGGGAAAUAAAAGUUUACUGCUCCCCA